AUUGAACGCUGGCGGCAGGCCUAACACAUGCAAGUCGAGCGAGCGGCGGACGGGUGAGUAAUGUAUGGGGACUGCCAGAAAGAGGGGGAUAACUACUGGAAACGGUGGCUAAUACCGCAUACUAUCGGAUAACCCAUAUGGGAUUAGCUAGUAGGGGGGGUAAAGGCUCACUUAGGCGGCGAUCCCUAGCUGGUCUGAGAGGUUGAUAGGCCACACUGUGACUGAGACACGGCCCAGGCUCCUCCGGAGGCAGCAGUGGGGAAUAUUGCACAAUGGGCGAAAGCCUGAUGCAGCCAUGCCGCGUGUAUGAAGAAGGCCUUAGGGUUGGAAAGUACUUUCAGCGGGGCGGCGUUACCCGCAGAAGAAGCACCGGCUAACUCCGUGCCAGCAGCCGCGGUAAUAC
rnacentral:rRNA from 1 species